UUGCGGGGAAGCUAUCAUAGACAUGCUAUCUAUAGAACUGGAUUGUUGCUACAAUACCUUGCAAGUAGCUGCAGUCUCUCACUUAUACAGUUUAAUCUCAGGGCUUGAAGUACACUGAUGGUAGGAUCUGGUAUUGAGGUGGUGCACGCGAGUGCCAUGGAUUUGUGAUUGUGCCUUGCCACUUAGGAACCGGCAGUGUCUAUUUGCUAAUUAGGAGUGAUGUUUUUUUUCUUGAUUUUGUGAUGAACUGGGAAGAUGAAUGCUAUACCGUGGACUCAAUGAGCCAUGGAAUUUGUGUGUUACUUCAAAUUAGUCAUCAGCAUUCACGUUUAUGAGUAUAUGACAUGUGAGUGCCUUUGAUUUCA